UACGGAGGGUGCGAGCGUUGUCCGGAAUCACUGGGCGUAAAGGGCGCGUAGGCGGCUCAUGAAGGCUGUGGUGAAAGUCCGGGGCUCAACCUCGGAUCGGCCGUGGCGACUCGUGGGCUGGAGCACUGUAGAGGCGGGUGGAAUUCCGGGUGUAGCGGUGGAAUGCGUAGAGAUCCGGAAGAACACCAGUGGCGAAGGCGGCCCGCUGGGCAGUGGCUGACGCUGAACGCGCGACAGCGUGGGGAGCAA
rnacentral:rRNA from 1 species